rnacentral:lncRNA from 1 species
AUGCUCAGACUUGAGGUAGCAGAGAGGAUCCUGCAGGCCAGUGCCUGCCCUCCGGCAAUGGCUUCCAAAGGUCAGGUUCACAGCGCUCUUCUGCUCCCCAAACCCUUAUACCCUCCUGCAUUACUCUUGGCACUGGAGACUACUGAUGCCAGCGAGGUAGCUUGCAGGUUACCACCUCCGCCGCCGUCUGCGCCUGCGGGUCCUGUGCCCCUCUUGGAAUUCCUCUCGCCCUGGGGACCCUUUACCGUUCAGAUACGUUUCCUGAACAGCCCACACAACCUGGCCCUCCUGCACCCCGGGCAGCCAAUUUGCUUCCUGCACCCCCCGGCGACCCUCUCCUUCAGGCCCCCGGGGUCCCACAGGCCUGGCCCUCCCCAACAGCUCGAGUCUGUCCCCACUCGCGGGGGAUGCUCCCAGGACCACCGCCUCCCUGCCCAGGUGCCCGCAGCUCUCCCAGCUGCGCUCGUCCGAACUUUCGAGCUCCUCCGUGUGCGGACAGGAGCCGUCUGCCAACUCGGCCAGCUCCUCCGGCUGCCGCAGAAGCCUGCGUGGGCUGCCCUCCCCGCGCUCCUGCACCCCGGCACGGGCCUCGCCGCGCUCCUGCACUGCGGGGCCGCCUCCCCCCUUCUCCUGCUGCUGCCUGCGGGGCCCCAGGCCCUCCUCCUGCGCCACUGGCCCGCCGGCCGAGCCCGUCCAGCGCGCCGGGCGCCUCCAGUCCGCGGCGUCGGGCGGCCCCCAAACCACCCCCAGGCUGGGCUCGUGACCGCGGCCGCCCCGCUCCUGCACCCCCAGCCCCACGCCGCCCUCCUCCUGCACCGCCGGACCCACCCCGCCCUGCUCCUCCACGCCGAGCUUCAGCCCGCGGAGAAGCUGCGGCCCCCAGCUGAGCCGCCCGACGCGCGCCGGCUGCUGCUCCGGCAGCGCGGGGCUCACUCCGCCACGCUCCUCCUGCGCCCCCCCGCCGGCGACCCCACAGCCCGCCGCGGCGCGCACACGCCUGCCCCCCAGAGGCCGCGCGCUCCCGCCCCUCCAGAUGGUGCUGCCCUGCGCCCCCGCCCCGCGGCUUCCGCCUCGGCCCCGAGAGGGCUGAGGGCCCCCGCGCCCGCCCCCCGCCUCCCGCAGUCAACCUCGGCCACCCGGGCGCCGCGCCGCAGGUGCUGCGGCCCGCGAGCCGGCGGCCCUCCAGCCGGGUUCCCAGAGCCCGCGCGCGCGCGCCUGCGCCGCCCCGGGGGGUGGGGCCCACUGGAGUCGCUCCGCCCUCUUAAAGGGCCCUGGCUCUUUAUUGCGCGCGAGCUCGCGCGCGCUCGCGCUCGCGCUCACACUCUCUCUUCUCCCUCUCCCUCUCCCUCUCCACUCUCCCUCUCCCUCUCCCUCUCUCCCUCUCCCACACACACUCACACACACCCACUCUCACACACACACUCUCACACACAUACACCUCUCUCCUCCCUCUUUCUCUCUCUCCCUCUCUCCCUCUCCCUCUCUCCUCUCUCACAUACACACUCUCUCACACAAACACACACUCUCUCAUACACACAUACCCGCUCUCUCUCAGACACACACACACACGAUACUGAAAGAAAGGUGAAAAUUUAG